rnacentral:rRNA from 1 species
GGGAUUGCCCUAGUAACGGCGAGUGAAGCGGCAACAGCUCAAAUUUGAAAUCUGGCGUCUUUGGCGUCCGAGUUGUAAUUUGCAGAGGGCGCUUUGGCAUUGGCAGCGGUCCAAGUUCCUUGGAACAGGACGUCACAGAGGGUGAGAAUCCCGUACGUGGUCGCUAGCCUUUACCGUGUAAAGCCCCUUCCACGAGUCGAGUUGUUUGGGAAUGCAGCUCUAAAUGGGAGGUAAAUUUCUUCUAAAGCUAAAUACUGGCCAGAGACCGAUAGCGCACAAGUAGAGUGAUCGAAAGAUGAAAAGCACUUUGGAAAGAGAGUUAAAAAGCACGUGAAAUUGUUGAAAGGGAAGCGCUUGCAGCCAGACUUGCCUGUAGUUGCUCAUCCGGGUUUCUACCCGGUGCACUCUUCUACGGGCAGGCCAGCAUCAGUUUGGGCGGUUGGAUAAAGGUCUCUGUCAUGUACCUCCCUUCGGGGAGAUCUUAUAGGGGAGACGACAUGCAACCAGCCUGGACUGAGGUCCGCGCAUCUGCUAGGAUGCUGGCGUAAUGGCUGUAAGCGGCCCGUCUUGAAACACGGACCAAGGAGUCUAACAUCUAUGCGAGUGUUUGGGUGUCAAGCCCGAGCGCGUAAUGAAAGUGAACGGAGGUGGGAACCUUUCGGGGUGCACCAUCGACCGAUCCUGAUGUCUUCGGAUGGAUUUGAGUAAGAGCAUAGCUGUUGGGACCCGAAAGAUGGUGAACUAUGCUUGAAUAGGGUGAAGCCAGAGGAAACUCUGGUGGAGGCUCGCAGCGGUUCUGACGUGCAAAUCGAUCGUCAAAUUUGGGCAUAGGGGCGAAAGACUAAUCGAACUAUCUAGUAGCUGGUUCCUGCCGAGCU